AUUGAACGCUGGCGGCAGGCCUAACACAUGCAAGUCGAGCGAGCGGCGGACGGGUGAGUAAUGUUUGGGAAACUGCCUGAUGGAGGGGGAUAACUACUGGACACGGUAGCUAAUACCGCAUACUAUCAGAUGUCCCCAGAUGGGCUUAGCGAGUAGGUGGGGUAAUGGCUCACCUAGGCGACGAUCCCUAGCUGGUCUGCGAGGAUGACAAGGUACAAUGGAACUGGGACACGGUCCAGACUCCAACGGGAGGUAGCAGUGGGGAAUAUUGCACAAUGGGCGCAAGCCUGAUGGAGCCAUGCCGCGUGUGUGAAGAAGGCCUUCGGGUUGUAAAGCACUUUCAGCUAGGAGGCGUUACUCGCAGAAGAAGCACCGGCUAACUCCGUGCCAGCAGCCGCGGUAAUUC
rnacentral:rRNA from 1 species